rnacentral:tRNA from 1 species
UGGGUUGUAGCUCAGUGGAAGAGCACUUGCCUAGCCUUUGUGAGGCCCUGGGUUCAAUCCCUAGCAUUGCAA